CCUACGGGAGGGCAGCAGUGGGGAAUAUUGCACAAUGGGGGAAACCCUGAUGCAGCGACGCCGCGUGAGCGAAGAAGUAUUUCGGUAUGUAAAGCUCUAUCAGCAGGGAAGAAGAAUGACGGUACCUGACUAAGAAGCUCCGGCUAAAUACGUGCCAGCAGCCGCGGUAAUACGUAUGGAGCAAGCGUUAUCCGGAAUUACUGGGUGUAAAGGGAGCGUAGGCGGGAGAUCAAGUCAGAUGUGAAAACUACGGGCUCAACCCGUAACCUGCAUUUGAAACUGGUUUUCUUGAGUGAAGUAGAGGCAGGCGGAAUUCCGAGUGUAGCGGUGAAAUGCGUAGAUAUUCGGAGGAACACCAGUGGCGAAGGCGGCCUGCUGGGCUUUUACUGACGCUGAGGCUCGAAAGCAUGGGGAGCAAACAGGAUUAGAUACCCGUGUAGUC
rnacentral:rRNA from 1 species